rnacentral:rRNA from 1 species
CUGUAAGCCUGCGAAGGUGGCCUGUGAGGGUUGCUGGAGGUAUCAGAAGUGCGAAUGCUGACAUAAGUAACGAUAAAGCGGGUGAAAAGCCCGCUCGCCGGAAGACCAAGGGUUCCUGUCCAACGUUAAUCGGGGCAGGGUGAGUCGACCCCUAAGGCGAGGCCGAAAGGCGUAGUCGAUGGGAAACGGGUUAAUAUUCCCGUACUUGGUGUUACUGCGAAGGGGGGACGGAGAAGGCUAUGUUGGCCGGGCGACGGUUGUCCCGGUUUAAGCGUGUAGGUGUGUGUUCCAGGUAAAUCCGGUUCACUUUAACACUGAGGCGUGAUGACGAGGCACUACGGUGCUGAAGCAACAAAUGCCCUGCUUCCAGGAAAAGCCUCUAAGCAUCAGGUAACAUCAAAUCGUACCCCAAACCGACACAGGUGGUCAGGUAGAGAAUACCAAGGCGCUUGAGAGAACUCGGGUGAAGGAACUAGGCAAAAUGGUGCCGUAACUUCGGGAGAAGGCACGCUGACAC